AUUUCACACAGUAUUGAAUUCCAGACAGUAACAGGGUCAAAGUGGUCAACAUGAAGAUUUCAGAAAAACAAUUUGUUCACGUUAGAGACUUCCCAUAAAACAGACAAGUCUCUCUUUCAAUGUCAAAUGUGUAAUGACUUACAUGAGUACAAAUGGAAUAAAAUGAUUACUAAAAUCCCUAUAUUGGAGCCUUUUGUAUUGGCAUGGCAGUGAGGUAAAUCACUUGUAAGGUGCUGGGGAUUAGGAAUCAGUAUCAGGGCUGCCGCUCGUGUCAGGUUCACUUUCUAAACACAGAUGUCAGUACAAAGAUCUUUUUCUGGCAGCAACAUAAUGACUCUUUGCAUCUGUGCUAAUACUGUUAUGCCAGGGCCAAGUAAAGAAGAAAAAUAAAAUUGGCAGAGAGAAAUGUCUUCAAGCAUCAUAGAUGGUUUUGAGAUCUUCUUUCACAUCAUCCUAAUGAAGUCUUAGUAAGAACAACCUAAAAAAAAGCACUGCAACUACAGGUCCAGAACAACUGUGGUGUGUCUUAGUGAUGCCUCCCAGUUCAUAUGAGGAAUGCACGACGGCCUUUCACGCUUGUAGGCACAGGCUUCAAUACAAAAUUUUUUGUCUCUGCAGGGACUAUCCACCAGAGAGAUAUGCAGAAAAGCUCCAGGGGAAAAGAAGUCACAGCUGGCUGUGUCUGAAGGAGAAUAAAUUCACUUGGAGAAGGCCAUGGCCUGGCCAGCUAAGUCAGUCAGCACAUGAUGACAACAGAGGUCCUGUGAUGAACUUCUCCACCUUUUGUAUGCCUUGCUUCCAGGCAGGGGAUAUCCCAUCCAGGAGACCAAUUUAG
rnacentral:lncRNA from 1 species